ensembl:rRNA 5S_rRNA 5S ribosomal RNA
AUCUAUGACCAUGCCACCCUGAACUCACCUGAUCUCGAAAGCUAAGCAAGGUCAGGCCUAGUUAGUACUUGGAUAGGAAAUUACGUAGUAUCUUGGAAGAAAGACA